rnacentral:rRNA from 1 species
CAAAACUUUACAAUGCGGAGACAAACUCGUGAUAAGGGGACACCCGAGUGCCAGCWUCAUAUGCUGUGCKGUCYUGGGUGUGUAAAAUACACCCGUUARCAAGGGCCGGGCAAGACCGGUGCCAGCCGCCGCGGUAACACCGGCGGCCCRAGUGGUGAUCRUKWUUAUUGGGUCUAAAGGGUCCGUAGCCGGYUUGRUCAGUCUUCCGGGAAAUCUKAYAGCUCAACUAUUAGGCUUUCKGGGGAUACURYCAGGCUUGRARCCGGGAGAGGUAAGAGGUACUMCMRGGGUAGGAGUGAAAUCUUGUAAUCCCKGUGGGACCACCUGUGGCGAAGGCGUCUUACCAGAACGGRYUCGACGGUGAGGGACGAAAGCUGGGGGCACGAACCGGAUUAGAUACCCGGGUAGUCCCGGCCGUAAACGAUGCUCGACUAGGUGUCAGGMAUGGCKCGACCGUGUCUGGUGCCGCAGGGAAGCCUGUGUAAGCCGAYCACCUGGGAAGUACGGCCGCAAGGCUGAAACUUAA